CUGACUAGUGCCGGAAUUGCUCCGGCUCCCGUGCAGUUCCGUGACACCGCUGGCCGCCUCCGCAGGGAGGGCUCGGUUUCCUGAGAAGCUGCGGUAGGGAAAGGACUAUGACAGUUUUUUUGAAUCAAAGGAGAGCUACACGGUCUUCUCAUUCUUAGGCCUGAAAUCGCAGUUGGCCUCAAAGGCAGUGGCCGGAUGUGGAUCCCUGUGUUGUCCCACAAGUGGCUGGAAUCUCAAGUCUCGUGAAGUCUCCGCCUGUCUUUGCUUUCC